CACACUGUGUCCCUUGAUUCCCUACAACCCUGUGAAAUGAGCAUUUCCACUUUACAAUGUGAAACCCGCAGCUCAGAGAGGGAGAAUUGCCCAAAGUCACCCAGACUGUAAUAGAAAAUCAAGUCCAGUCCCACGGUGCCCGGCCUUCCCACCGGCGCAGCCGCAGCCGACCUGGCCUGACCUUUCAGACGGAUGGACUCCUUUUGUGAGGAAACCACGGGUUUUGCUUCUGGUGGUAGCAGUGCCAGUGAAAUAGACGGAAAUAUACGGCCUGAUUCAUGCCCUAAAAAUGGUUUGAAACCAUGCAGAAGAAGGAAUCUUUCAGGUGGAGCCAUCCAAGUGCCCUAACAGCUCAGCAGAGAAAGGACCAUGGGAGCCUGACUGAAGGCAGAGUUCACGUCUCUUAUUGGGGAUCAGGGAAGUCAUGGAAGAAUUUCCACUGUCUUUGAAGGGAGAAGAUCAUUGUGAAAAACUGAUUGAAGUGUUCUUGAAAUGAUGACUUUGGUUUGCUGGCCCAUUGGGGAAAAGCCCUGGGAAAAGCAGUGGGAACCUAUAUUGAGGUCAACACUGCGCAUGGUGUAUACAAAAGCCAGUCACAGCCCCAUUUGGUCUUGUUUUCUCAUGUUCUGGAGCUAUAAAAUGGAAACACCAGCCUUUCCAGCUUCCCUUGCAUGACCAACUUCGGCCAAAGAGAGUAAAGAAGAUGUAACCUGGUGGAUGUCAUGGGAAAGCAUUUAUAAAGUGGACAUGGUGUGCUGGCAUGCUUACCUUGGGCUUCCUCUUCUCCCCCUUCUUCCUACUUAGGAACACACAUGAUUACUUAUGUAUAGCAGCCAUCCUGGACCAUGAAACCACCAAGGAUGAGGACGUGUUUGUGGGAUAGAAGAGGAGAAAGGCGGAAAGAUCCUGACAUCACCUGGCUACUGUGACAUCCAGGACUGCUUUCCCCCAAAUGCCUUGGAUGUGACAAAAGAAUCCGUGUUUGAGUAAAAAUCACUGUUCGUCAGAUUUUCUGCUGCUUGCAGCUAAAUAAAAUGUUAACCAAUAAA